rnacentral:rRNA from 1 species
UCUACGGGUGGCAGCAGUGGGGAAUAUUGCACAAUGGGGGAAACCCUGAUGCAGCGACGCCGCGUGAGUGAAGAAGUAAUUCGUUACGUAAAGCUCUAUCAGCAGGGAAGAAAUACUGACCUUACGGUCAGCAGACGGUACCUGAGUAAGCAGCCCCGGCUAACUACGUGCCAGCAGCCGCGGGAAUACGUAGGGGGCAAGCGUUAUCCGGAUUUACUGGGGGUAAAGGGAGCGUAGACGGUGCGCCACGUCGGGAGUGAAAUGCCGAAGCUUAACUGCGGAACUGCUUUGGAAACUGGCGAACUAGAGUGCGUGAGGGGUAAGCGGAAUUCCUAAUGUAGCGGUGAAAUGCGUAGAUAGUAGGAGGAACACCGGUGGCGAAGGCGGCUUACUGGACCGUAACUGACGUUGAGGCUCGAAAGCGUGGGGAGCAAACAGGAUUAGAUACCCGAGUAGUC